rnacentral:rRNA from 1 species
CCUACGGGAGGCAGCAGUGAGGAAUAUUGGUCAAUGGACGAGAGUCUGAACCAGCCAAGUAGGGUGAAGGAUGACUGCCCGAUGGGUUGUAAACUUCUUUUAUAUGGGAAUAAAAUGUGCCACGUGUGGGAUUUUGUAUGUACCAUAUGAAUAAGGAUCGGCUAACUCCGUGCCAGCAGCCGCGGUAAUACGGAGGAUCCGAGCGUUAUCCGGAUUUAUUGGGUUUAAAGGGAGCGUAGGUGGAUUGUUAAGUCAGUUGUGAAAGUUUGCGGCUCAACCGUAAAAUUGCAGUUGAAACUGGCAGUCUUGAGUACAGUAGAGGUGGGCGGAAUUCGUGGUGUAGCGGUGAAAUGCUUAGAUAUCACGAAGAACUCCGAUUGCGAAGGCAGUUCACUGGACUGCAACUGACACUGAGGCUCGAAAGUGUGGGUAUCAAACAGGAUUAGAUACCCCGGUAGUC